GGCAGCUAUUUGAGUCUGGGUUACUAAAUAACCGAGUCGGUUAGGCAGCUGUGACUGUUGACAUGUGCUACUGCUAUUGGCCCAAAGCUGUCAAGUCACUGCCAUGAAAUAAAAUGAAUAAUAAAAUAAUAAAAGAGAAGAAAAAAAACACUUCUCUCAAACCACCCUAAUGAGCGGCAGCCUCUUCCUGGUAGAUGUGCAUUUAUUUUGUUUGUGUUGAUUUCCCGGAUUAAAUAUUGAAGGAGGGCAGACCUGAGGGAGACGGUCCUCUCCCGUCCAUCUCUCCGAGCGGUUUUACCGCAAAGGUGGCUGGGAAAGUUUUCAAAGUACCUCGUGAAAAAAAAAAAGAGGCUCCUGCUCCGGAUGACCAUGCAUGUGGAGCAGCGGCACGCGGCGAAUGGGGCGCUGCUCUCACGGGAAAGCUCCAGUGGGAAAGACAGUCCUGAGUCACCACCUGUUGCCUUAUCACUGACUUCGAUGGAAAUGAGGGCCUAGUGAAGACACAAUGAAGGCUGGACGAAAGAGGUGAGGAGGG